rnacentral:lncRNA from 1 species
UGUAAACGCUCGCAGAUUGAAUGACGAAAUAAAAGAAGAAACUACAGCACAGUCAAUUUUCUCCAUGACAGCCUGAGAGAUGUAGCUGGUGCUGCCACUUUUCCUUCAUUUUUCCCUGCCUUGAAUAUGGUGGUGAUGCCUGGAGCUUCAGCAGCCAUCUUAUGGCCAUGAAAUGGCAAGCAUGAGAAUGAAAGAAAAUGCACUCAUCAUGAAAGGAGGAAGAGCAGAAGAAAUCUGGGUCACUGGUGAUAUCAAUGGAUAGCUGAAGCAGUGCUGCUCUGGAUGGAAAAUGCCCUGGGUUCUCCGAGACUUAACACCCCGCCUUGUGAACGCGAGCAAGAUUAUUCUCUCUGAGCAGCUCUUUUCACAUGUGAUAAGCUUGGCAAGUUGCCCUGGAUUGAAUUCUCACCCACUGUCUUCACCCAACCCAGCAGAGAAGAAGGCUUGUGACUGUGUAAGGUGAAAAUGGAUAUACCAUUUCUGGGAAGAGAAAAGAAGCCAAUUAAAAGUGGGGCAUGUCAUUACACUGACCAGAAAUGAACGUACCUUUUUAGAAAUAAAGAAUCUGUAUAUUCCUGUGGCUCUGAAAAAAAAAAAAAAA